ensembl:lncRNA
GCUGAAUUAAAUGACUAUGUUGUUAAGGAACACAUACUGUAUAUGCUGGUGUAAGUAUUGAAAAAAAUUGCAAUAUGUUAAAUAUCGGCAAUUUAAGGCAUGUUUUGUGUUGAAAAUUAUUUUACAGCUUUUAAAAACAUUAUAUAUAUAUCUUUGUGUUAGAUAAAUGACGCACAUUAAGUACUUUUUGUCUUAAUUGACGUCAUCAUGUCGCCGCAGAGCCGGUCACGCUCUCUAUAGGUCCAUGGCUGGUCCAUGAGCUACUACUGUUAUACCGUCCCUCCAAAGAUCUUAUUUCGAGGGUUAACACCCUUCACUUCUACCGGCAGUGUCUGAUUUCGGAAUGUUUAAAAACAAUGGUUAUAAAACAAAAUUUAGAAUCCAUGGUCUAAGCGCAUUUUUCUAAAUUGUGCAGUACGCUCAAACAGGGGAUGCAGUUACCCUUUAAGGAGUAUUAAUUCAGUGGCAGCAAUUAAAAGCAUGAUUAUACAACUCAUUUUAUGUUUUGUUUUUUUACAGGUCUUUGUGAAUCCAACCACCUUUUGAUAUCGAAAAUACGAUAAAGCCAACGGCCCUUUUUAGGGCCACUUUGUUAUUCUUUGUUACAAACAUUUCUUUUGUGGUGUUAUUGUUGUUGUGUUUUUUGUUUGUUUGUUUUGUCUAACAAUGUCUUCUGAGCACUCUAGACUGCAGGAAUUGCUGAGGGCGGGGAAUGACUUGGCAGAUGAGUUUGCAGCCAGAAGACCUUCGAAGCCAAGAAACCGACGGGGGACUGGAGGCUCCAAUGUUACGUGGAGGAAGAGGGACCAGGAUGGGAACAUCGUACCCCAAAAUUUUCGGAGGAGUCGAUCUGUUCAGUCUGUCGCCCCAAGGGAACCCCCUUGGGUGGAUGAGUCGCAGACGGCUGAUAUUUCUCAGGAUGUCCCAAGUCUUGUUCAGUCUGUCGCCCCAAGGGAACCCCCUUGGGUGGAUGAGUCGCAGACGGCUGAUAUUUCUCAGGAUGUCCCAAGUCUUGUUCAGUCUGUCGCCCCAAGGGAACCCCCUUGGGUGGAUGAGUCGCAGACGGCUGAUAUUUCUCAGGAUGUCCCAAGUCUUGUUCAGCCUGUUGCCCGUAGGGAACUCCUAGAUGUUGGGGAUCGCACACGGCUGAUAUUUCUCAGGAUGUCCCAAGUCUUGAUCAACAUCUUCAGGCACUCAGAAAUCUGCUGAGUUCUGUCAUUGUCCCUGCAUCGGCAGAAGAGGAGCAGACACCCACCAUGUCUGCAUGGAGCAGAAGACAAUCCAUCUGCGAAAGAAAAUUCAGGGCUGCAAUGCCAGAGCUUCUGAAUUCAAUGUUGGCAGCAGAGACUGUGAACAGGCAUUGUUGUCAGCAAUGCCAAACUGUUGAUGCUGUGGUCCGGUGCCUCGACUGUGUUGCCUCAGGAACUCAGUUUCUCUGUUCAGCAUGUGACGUGACUAUCCACAGGAAAAACAUCUUCCAUGACAGAGAGGCCAUGAUUGAUGGUUUUUUCGAACCCAUUCCCCCCACAUCCUUUGUGGUGGUGGGUGAAGGUGGCCAACAUCAACUUGGUGAACAAGUGUGCCUUCUUCCGAUUCCUCCACCAACCCAAAUCUGCUCCUGUGGUCCAAACCAAGACUUCUCCAUUCUCCCUGGAAAGCAGACUGUCUUGGUGACUAUCAACGGUCCAUACAAAUUGUGCUUGCCUGCUGUGUGCUGUCCAAGUUGUUCUUGCAAAUGGACUCCAGGAACAAGUGACUUGCUUGGAUGCAGAUACUGGCCAGCAACCACCAGCUGCCAACUCCUGUACAAGUUUGAUGUCUUCACAUCAUUUGAGCAGAUGAAGUUAUCCAGCCCAGCUGUCUCAACAAGCAUUUCUCAAAAUGCUUGAACAUCGAUCCCUUCGCACAGGAAGGACGGGCCGUAUCUGUGGCGAUACCUUCCACAGAGUCUUUCGUGAGUUUGCUUUCUGCAAUUUAAAAAAAAAAGACCUCUGCCUGGUUGAGCCCUUCCAAUGUCCAGCAUGCACACCAGACAUGCUGGCUAUAUCUGUGGAUGGUAAUCGAAAGCAUUACCGCUUCAAUAAGUCCAAGGGGACUGAUGAACCAUCUCUUUUUGAAGGACGGUUCAUUGCUGAUGAUACUAAAGUUUCUGCCUUUGUAGACCAGAUCAGAAGCCAGAUGUUGAGUAGGACUGGUCGUGAUGUCUGUGGGCCAGCAUCAUUUACAGCAGGCAGGGAAACGUCCCAGAAGUCAAGGGCCAAGGUGGAUGAAGAGGGCCUGCGCAUAGCUGUGUGCAGGCAUGGAAUGUUGCUGCAGGGCCUGAACCACUACCGUGGGGAAGUCUAUGCAUACCCCAUGUUCCUGCAGAAGGAGCUGGCUCAAGCCACAAAUGCAACAUUCUUUUGCAUGGACCUUACUUGCAGGUAUUGGCCAUAUUUGGAGAAGAUGGCAGAAAAGUUGCCUCAGCUCCGACACCUUACAGAGAUGAAGCCAUUUCUCUCUGUAAUGCAUGCCAAGGCUCACACUGGCAAAUGUGAGGUGAGGUGGGGGGGCAGAAGUCAGGAUGGUGCAGGAAACACUGUUGGAGAGGAGGUAGAGCAAGUUAACAGUUUCCUGUCAAGAGCAGCUCUCACAACAAAGUACAUGACCAAGUCAGGCAGAUCAGAUAUGCUAACAGUGCUUGUUUGGAACCAAAGGAAGGUGGACGGUCUCCACAAGACACUAACAAAAAGAUUUGUAAAAAGUACACAGAGGGCAGAAGUGGAAGAAGCCAACCUUGACAGUCUCAAGCAGGAACUCAACAUCUCACUGCAGGACACUGAGCAGUGGGUGUUGGAUGUGAAGCAAUGGGCUGCCACAGAAAGAACUGGUGCUCAUAAUAUUCAGGAAGAGCUCCGGAGAGAAAUUGAUGAAAUAAUCUACUCUCUCCGAAAGAAAAAGCAUGACCUCAAUCGACAAAAUGACAGCAACCAGACAAGACAGAGGAAGAGAAGGAGGAUUGGAGAGCAGAAGAAGAAGCUCCAAGAGAAGAUCCUGCUCGAUCCUACAUAACGGAUCGCUAGAUAACACUUGUUUUUACUUUAUAUUUGUAUUGCAUUUAAUUGUUUAAUCAAAUGUAGCUAGUACACUGAAUGUUUAAAGUGUAUCAUAGUCUACCUAGCUUGUGUUAAUUUAAUUUCAUAAAUUUAAUUUAUCAGACAGACAGACAGACAGACAGACAGACAGACAGACAGACAGACAGACAGACAGACAGACAGACUCCCUCCUUCCCUCCCUCCCUCCCUCCCUCCCAGAGGCGGAGUGGCCGUCGGGAAAAUCGGGAGAUGACCCGGCCGGCCUGCGAGGUCAGGUGGACCGGCCCACAAUUGUGUAGCGGCCUGCGAAAUCAGUUGGACUGGCCCACAGUUGAGAGCGGCCGCGAGGCGUCUGCAAGCCGGCCCUGAGCAUAAUUUAUUCCUGUCAAGACGCCGUGAAAUUCCCCGAAAUAAACAAUAUAUGUCUCGGGAACAUCCAACCAAUAUUUAUACCACUUGCUUACUCUCUAUGUCUCAUUCAUUACUUCAUUUAAUUCUUCAUUAUUCAGGCGUUACAGAACUUUCACGGCCAUAAAUAAAUAACACGAAC